AACGAACGCUGGCGGCAGGCUUAACACAUGCAAGUCGAGCGCCCCGCAAGGGGAGCGGCAGACGGGUGAGUAACGCGUGGGUAUCUACCCAUCUCUACGGAAUAACGCAUGGAAACGUGUGCUAAUACCGUAUACGUCCUUCGGGAGAAAGAUUUAUCGGAGAUGGAUGAGCCCGCGUUGGAUUAGCUAGUUGGUGGGGUAAAGGCCUACCAAGGCGACGAUCCAUAGCUGGUCUGAGAGGAUGAUCAGCCACACUGGGACUGGGACGCGGCCCAGACUCCUACGGGAGGCAGCAGUGGGGAAUAUUGGACAAUGGGCGCAAGCCUGAUCCAGCCAUGCCGCGUGAGUGAUGAAGGCCCUAGGGUUGUAAAGCUCUUUCACCGGUGAAGAUAAUGACGGUAACCGGAGAAGAAGCCCCGGCUAACUUCGUGCCAGCCGCCGCAGUAACAC
rnacentral:rRNA from 1 species